rnacentral:tRNA from 1 species
AGAGUUUGAUCCUGGCUCAGGACGAACGCUGGCGGCGUGCCUAAUACAUGCAAGUAGAACGCUGAAGGAGGAGCUUGCUUCUCUGGAUGAGUUGCGAACGGGUGAGUAACGCGUAGGUAACCUGCCUGGUAGCGGGGGAUAACUAUUGGAAACGAUAGCUAAUACCGCAUAAGAGUGGAUGUUGCAUGACAUUUGCUUAAAAGGUGCAUUUGCAUCACUACCAGAUGGACCUGCGUUGUAUUAGCUAGUUGGUGGGGUAACGGCUCACCAAGGCGACGAUACAUAGCCGACCUGAGAGGGUGAUCGGCCACACUGGGACUGAGACANAGAAAGUAUUAGCCUUUCGAGACAAACCACCUUAUGGUGGAAGUUCAGCCAUGCCUUGCGGUGCUUGUAGAGAAUUCCUUUUAGAGCUUAAUGCUGAAAAUAAAGAUGCAGAAUUCAUGAUGGACUAUAAUAUAAGAAAAACAGUUAAAGUCGCAGAACUAAUCCCUUAUUGGUGGGGAGAAGAACGUGCUUCUAAGUUUAAUGAGUGAUAGAAGAGUCAGUAUAAUUCUGGCUCUUUUUACUAUAAGUUGAAAAAAUAAAAAAAAUUAGAAAAAGUAGUUGACAAAAUUUGAAAAGACUGUAUAAUAGUAAGAGUUGAAAAUAACAACUCAGGUCCGUUGGUCAAGGGGUUAAGACACCGCCUUUUCACGGCGGUAACACGGGUUCGAAUCCCGUACGGACUAUGGUAUGUUGCGUCAGGACCACUUGAUGAAAAAAAGUUUAAAAAAGCUUAAAAAUCUUCAAAAAAGUGUUGACAAGUGAAAGUGGCUGUGAUAUACUAAUAUAGUUGUCGCUUGAGAGAAGCAAGUGACAAAGACCUUUGAAAACUGAACAAGACGAACCAAUGUGCAGGGCGCUACAACAUAAGUUGUAGUACUGAACAAUGAAAAAACAAUAAAUCUGUCAGUGACAGAAAUGAGUGAGAACUCAAACUUUUAAUGAGAGUUUGAUCCUGGCUCAGGACGAACGCUGGCGGCGUGCCUAAUACAUGCAAGUAGAACGCUGAAGGAGGAGCUUGCUUCUCUGGAUGAGUUGCGAACGGGUGAGUAACGCGUAGGUAACCUGCCUGGUAGCGGGGGAUAACUAUUGGAAACGAUAGCUAAUACCGCAUAAGAGUGGAUGUUGCAUGACAUUUGCUUAAAAGGUGCAUUUGCAUCACUACCAGAUGGACCUGCGUUGUAUUAGCUAGUUGGUGGGGUAACGGCUCACCAAGGCGACGAUACAUAGCCGACCUGAGAGGGUGAUCGGCCACACUGGGACUGAGACACGGCCCAGACUCCUACGGGAGGCAGCAGUAGGGAAUCUUCGGCAAUGGACGGAAGUCUGACCGAGCAACGCCGCGUGAGUGAAGAAGGUUUUCGGAUCGUAAAGCUCUGUUGUAAGAGAAGAACGAGUGUGAGAGUGGAAAGUUCACACUGUGACGGUAUCUUACCAGAAAGGGACGGCUAACUACGUGCCAGCAGCCGCGGUAAUACGUAGGUCCCGAGCGUUGUCCGGAUUUAUUGGGCGUAAAGCGAGCGCAGGCGGUUAGAUAAGUCUGAAGUUAAAGGCUGUGGCUUAACCAUAGUAGGCUUUGGAAACUGUUUAACUUGAGUGCAAGAGGGGAGAGUGGAAUUCCAUGUGUAGCGGUGAAAUGCGUAGAUAUAUGGAGGAACACCGGUGGCGAAAGCGGCUCUCUGGCUUGUAACUGACGCUGAGGCUCGAAAGCGUGGGGAGCAAACAGGAUUAGAUACCCUGGUAGUCCACGCUGUAAACGAUGAGUGCUAGGUGUUAGACCCUUUCCGGGGUUUAGUGCCGUAGCUAACGCAUUAAGCACUCCGCCUGGGGAGUACGACCGCAAGGUUGAAACUCAAAGGAAUUGACGGGGGCCCGCACAAGCGGUGGAGCAUGUGGUUUAAUUCGAAGCAACGCGAAGAACCUUACCAGGUCUUGACAUCCCUCUGACCGCUCUAGAGAUAGAGCUUUCCUUCGGGACAGAGGUGACAGGUGGUGCAUGGUUGUCGUCAGCUCGUGUCGUGAGAUGUUGGGUUAAGUCCCGCAACGAGCGCAACCCCUAUUGUUAGUUGCCAUCAUUCAGUUGGGCACUCUAGCGAGACUGCCGGUAAUAAACCGGAGGAAGGUGGGGAUGACGUCAAAUCAUCAUGCCCCUUAUGACCUGGGCUACACACGUGCUACAAUGGCUGGUACAACGAGUCGCAAGCCGGUGACGGCAAGCUAAUCUCUUAAAGCCAGUCUCAGUUCGGAUUGUAGGCUGCAACUCGCCUACAUGAAGUCGGAAUCGCUAGUAAUCGCGGAUCAGCACGCCGCGGUGAAUACGUUCCCGGGCCUUGUACACACCGCCCGUCACACCACGAGAGUUUGUAACACCCGAAGUCGGUGAGGUAACCGUAAGGAGCCAGCCGCCUAAGGUGGGAUAGAUGAUUGGGGUGAAGUCGUAACAAGGUAGCCGUAUCGGAAGGUGCGGCUGGAUCACCU